rnacentral:lncRNA from 1 species
CAGUACAAUGCCAAGAUUAUUUCUGGUGUGUCCAAGCUUCAAGGAAACAGCACAACAAACUAUUUAUAGUGACCUCAAGUGCUCUUGCCAAAACACUGGAUAACCACUCAUGAAUGUAUGCCCUCAGGACUCUUCUGCUCCAACAGCUCUUCAUCUCAGAGUCCCGGAUCAGGACCCGGAUAGACUAGCUGUGGGAGGAAUGCGCGUGCGCCGUGGCACCGCCCACAACGCGUGGUGGGCGUGUUUUCCCCGCCUCCAGGGCGGAGCCCAAGAGCGAUUGGUCCCCGUUUUGGGCCUCCCAGGAUUGACUGGCCCUUCCACCCAACCAGGGCGGUCUACACCCUCUCACAUCACUUCCGCCCUCGCCUGGGAGCGCCUCUCGCCCCGUCGCGUUUAUCGAGGAGACAGGUGAAAACUGAGGUUUAGAGAGGGUAAAUAACUUGCCCAAAAUCUGGAAAAGUUUGCCAACCCCUGGUCUUACUCCUCAUUAAGGUUUCCCUUCCUCUCCACCAUUCCCAAAUCUGAGUAUUCCAGAAGAGCUACUGUUUUUUUAAUGAUAUGGUAAAUUAAUUUCUAAAGGGAUUAAAAUGAAUACCUACCUGUUGUAAUGAAAAUAAAUGUAUAACAUAAAGCAAUCUGCAAAAUAACUGUUUUGCAGGCCUAAGACUUAUGCAGAGGUGGCGCCCGCCCGUAAUCCCAGCACUUCGGGAGGCCGAGACGGGCGGAUCGCUUGAGACCAGCCAGGAUAACAUGGCGAAACCACAUCUCUACAACAAAUACAAAAAUUAGCUGGGCGCGGUGGCACACGACUGUGGUUCCAGUUACUCGGCAGGCGGAGGUGGAAGGAUCCCUUGAGCCUCUGGAGGUGGAGGUUGCAGUGAGCUGUGAUUGCGCCACUGCACUCCAGCCUGGGCGACAGAGUGAGACCCUGUCAGAAAACAAAACAAAACAAAAGAAUUCUGUAAGAACUUCUAACAGGUACAUUCCUGUAAGCAUUACCCACCACUGGACUAGGCACUGGGUAGCCUGUAAAAUACAGUAAGAGCCGUCUCUGCACCCAGAAAAUUUACCAUCAUUUUGUGCUGGAAAGACAUGCCCUAGAAAACAAUAAACAGCACGACUGUACAUGAUUCCAUGCCAAAUGACUGCUAGGAAUUAUUUUAUUAAUCCAUUCAACAAAUACUUAUUGAGUAACCACUAUUAGCCAGCCACCGUUUUCCGUGUGAGGACAUAAAAAUGAGUGAGACAAGGUCUCUGCCAUCAAAAAACGAACAGAUCAGUGAGGAAAGACGGAUGUGUCAAGAAAGGCUUUGCAGGUCGAGCGCGGUGAAUCACGCUUGUAAUCCCAGCACACUGGGAGGCAGAGGCAGGCGGAUCAUUUGAGGUCAGGCGCUCGAGACCACCCUGGCCAACAUGGCGAAACUCCAUCUCUACUAAAAAUACAAAAAUUAUCCGGGCAUGGUGGUGCAGGCUUGUAAUCUCAGCUACUCAGGAGGCUGAGGCAGGAGAAUCAUUUGAACCCAGGAGGCAGAGGUUGCAGUGAGCCAUGAUCAUGCCACUGCACUCCAGCCUGGGUGAGCGAGACUCCAUCUCAAAAAAAAAAAAAAAAAAAAAAAAGAGGGAGAGAAAGACUUUACAGAGCUGGUAACACUUAUCCUGGCCUGGAAAGAAAGAAAGAAAGCUUCCUAUGACGCCCUCUGGAUAAAACUUA